GACGUAGGGUCCAAGCGUUAAUCGGAAUUACUGGGCGUAAAGCGUGCGCAGGCGGUUUUGUAAGCCAGAUGUGAAAUCCCCGGGCUCAACCUGGGAAUGGCAUUUGGGACUGCAAGGCUGGAGUACGGCAGAGGAGACUGGAAUUCCUGGUGUAGCAGUGAAAUGCGUAGAGAUCAGGAGGAAUACCGAUGGCGAAGGCAGGUCUCUGGGCUGAUACUGACGCUCAUGCACGAAAGCGUGGGGAGCAAACAGG
rnacentral:rRNA from 1 species